UGGGAAGUAUUGCACAAUGGGCGCAAGCCUGAUGCAGCCAUGCCGCGUGUGUGAAGAAGGCCUUCGGGUUGUAAAGCACUUUCAGCGAGGAGGAAGGUGGUGAGCUUAAUACGCUCAUCAAUUGACGUUACUCGCAGAAGAAGCACCGGCUAACUCCGUGCCAGCAGCCGCGGUAAUACGGAGGGUGCAAGCGUUAAUCGGAAUUACUGGGCGUAAAGCGCACGCAGGCGGUUUGUUAAGUCAGAUGUGAAAUCCCGGCCU
rnacentral:rRNA from 1 species